GACGAACGCUGGCGGCGUGCUUAACACAUGCAAGUCGAACGGAAAGGCCCUGCUUUUGUGGGGUGCUCGAGUGGCGAACGGGUGAGUAACACGUGAGUAACCUGCCCUUGACUUUGAGAUAACUUCAGGAAACUGGGGCUAAUACCGGAUCGGAGCUCCUGCUGCAUGGUGGGGGUUGGAAAGUUUCGGCGGUUGGGGGUGGACUCGCGGCUUAUCAGCUUGUUGGUGGGGUAGUGGCUUACCCAGGCUUUGACGGGUAGCCGGCCUGAGAGGGUGACCGGCCACAUUGGGACUGAGAUAGGGCCCAGACUCGUACGGGAGGCAGCAGGGGGGAAUAUUGCACAAUGGGCGGAAGCCUGAGGCAGCAACGCCGCGUGCGGGAUGACGGCCUUCGGGUGGUAAACCGCUUUCGCCUGUGACGAAGCGUGAGUGACGGUAAUGGGUAAAGAAGCACCGGCUAACUACGUG
rnacentral:rRNA from 1 species